AAUCAAAUCCUAUAUUAUAAAUCUAUUAUUUAAAUUUAAAUUCAUUUGUUUAAACUCCAUAUAAACCCAUUCAUAUUUAAGUGAAUUAAAAGUUAUUUGAUGACCAAAAAAAAAGAAUUAACAGCUUAAUUCUGAUUGGACCAAAAAGUGAGGCGUGGAUCACCAUUUUUCGAAUCUCUGCCGUUGGUAAUAUUAAUCUUACGGCUCAGAUUAAUUCACUAUUAAUAUUUUAUGUUUGUUUUAUCUCUUUCUUCCUUUCUUCUUCCUCCACACGAUUCUAUACUUCUUAUUUUCUUCUUCUUCUGUACCUCUUCGAUCUCCUCAUCUAAUCUCAUCUCUCUUAUCCUCUUCCCAUCUCUCUUUCUCCUCUGCUCAUCUUUCAUUUACUUUUCUUCUUUCAAGCAAAUGGAUCUGAACGAAGAGAAUUACCACCGUCAUGCUUCUCACCACCAUGCUCCUUUCUAUUCGGUUGCGCCCUUCACCACCACCACCACCGCACGCUCGUCAACACCACCACCGGAAAGUGGAGGAGGCACAGGAUUGAUGAAUGAGGCACAGGAGAUUGAUGGAGGAGGUAGCAGUGGUGGGUCGUGAGCAGAGCUUGAAUGUUGAAGACGAAGAAGCUCGGUGAGGAGGCGGCAGGCGGCGGAGAAUAUACAUUAGGUUUAGAUUAGGGUUAGGUAUAUUUUUAAUUUGGUUUAGUAUGCUAAACCGAUUUUAUUUAUUAAUAGUUUGAUAAAUCGUUUUAAAUUUUGUAAGCCAAUUUGAUAUAUAAAAUAUAAUUUUCUAAUAUU